GUGUGGGGACGGGGGGGUCUGGUGCGUGUUAGACGGGACGGGGCGUCACGCUCGGUGACAGGGGGAGCGGCUACCAGAAGAGACGGGGGCUCCGAGGAGGGCCCGUCCCGCCAGAAGGGGGAAUAGUGGCUUUCGUCCCAGCUGCGGAAGAGAAGCUCAUCAUUAGCAAGAUCCUGCCAGACGCACGAAGCCAGACAGAGAUCAGUUGCAUUCAGUUAUUCUACAAACACUGUCAAUGCUGCAAAUUACCUGCAACAAGCUGCGGCUACUAAAAGAGUAAUCCUGAUCUGAAUACAAAGAAACACUGCAACACAGACAAGUGAGCAGGUAUCAGAUGAUCUGAAUGACUGAAAAACAAUGAUUCUUCAAUCAAUUCUGUCAAGCAAAUAUUAAAUUUUUAAAAAAUAUAUGUAUGUAUACACACAUACAAAUGCACAUGAUGUGGAUGUAACUCAAAUAUAUCCUGCAUGUUUUCUCAGUGUAGUUCUUUGUGUAAAAACAAAAAUAAAUCUGCCUGAAUAUAUGGCAUUAACACUACACUAAAUAAUAAAAUAACCAGACAGCAAGAGAUCGUUUUCAAGGACAGAAAGAACCAGGAGUGUGGGCUUAUAGUUCCUCAUCAUUAUUUCAAGCUGUUAACCAAGACAGCAACAGAAAUCAGCAAAGAAAACAAUGACAACAUUGAGAUAAAAAAAACUUAAAUUUCAUGAAAUAUGAAAUGAUCCAACCUAUUCUGUGUAAACAGUGUAUGUCAAAUGCUGAAAUCUGUUUCUGGAGGUAAUUUUUAAAAAGAUGAAUUAAGGAAUGUAUUUUGCUAGUAUUUUUGCUAUCUCUUCGGACAUUACUUUAUAUCAUUAUAACAAACCCACAUUUCUGUAUAUAUUUGUUAACUCCAAAUUGACAAAAAUAUCAUUUGAAAAUAAUUAUUUGGACAUGCUUUAAAUAAAAGAAAAAAAAACAGUAACAGGAAGUUCAAGGCUCUGAAGAACAUUAGGAAUCAUGUUGUGAUAAGUUUCAUAAUCAUAAUAUACCAGAAAGAUGGGAGCAGCAGCAUUAUCAGAAUUGGGUCACCAAAAGACUGUGUCUGAUAAAUUAUCAAGUGAACUUUACACCAUCAGGUGAACAUUUGGCAAUUUUAUACUAGCUUCAAAACCUCUCCAAAGUCAGAUUAUCUUUCUGUUGUGUAUACAGUACUUGUAAAGAAUUCGUAGUGGUUGCAGGAGAUCAAGUUUUCCUACUUAGCCCUGAAACAAAUAUCAAAAUUUUAGCUGCUAGUUUCAUGUUUUUAUUGCUAUACUCAGCUAGUACUUCCUGCUCACAAAUUAACAAGCUACUGAACAAUGUUGAGCUAACAAGAAUACCAGUAGUUUUUGCUGAUGUGCACAGGGCUUUUCUCCCUGCAUAGAAGCUAAAUCGACACACCAGCAACAACAUAAUCACUUCUAAAUUAUUUAAUGUUAGAAAGUGGUUCCAAGACAGAAAAAAAUACUGUCUUUCAAGAAACUAGACUUAUAAUGUAAGUCUUCUUCCUAUUGUACUGAUAUAGAAGACAUCACAGCAUAAAUCUUAAAAAUCUUUUUUUUAACUUAAAAAUUGGUAAAAAGAUACACCAUAUAUUUCUUUAUUGCUGGGUACCAACUGAAGAACUUUCACAUAUGACACAAAGGGAGAUACAAUUUAAACCAAUCUGGAACCAAUUGCUGGAAAUUUUAAAGCUUUAAUAUGUGCGCAUUUAGCCACCAGUUUAUAUGCCAUUUUUAGCUCAUAUCUUAUUUUUCCUGCUCAAGCAACUAUUUUCAGCUUUGCAGUAAACCAGGAUGAAUGCUUUGAGAACUCACUUGUAAAACAAGAUGGCUAAACCCAUUGUUACUGUAAAUGCACCUAGAACCAUAUUUUUAAAUGUAUUUUGAACAUCCAUCCUCAAUCUCCAGAUUCAGUAGGCCACCUAAAGGUAUGUUCCCGUACUUUCAAUUACGCAGCUUUACCUAACGACUGAAACCUUUUAAUGGCUUGGCUGUAAUAAUUAUCACAAGAAAAACACUCGUCAAGCUUGUAAAUAACGUGCUGACCUUCUCUGGCUCUGUGUGAUGUCAGACAGAUCUAGUUUCAACUUUGAUCAUGCCUUCUUCAUGUUACACCUUGUUACCGGAUAAUAAAUUCUUUACAGUGUUGAAGAGCAUGAUGGGAUGCUAAAAACUAAACGCAACCUCGCUUAAAACAACGCUUGUAACCGUGUCCUGCUCUAUCAAAUAAAGCACAACAUAAUGAUCCGAAACCCCUCCUCUCCGUGGUAACCGGGCCGUACAGGCGGUGCUUUGUGACCACCACCCUCCUGUCAGCGGUAUUAUCAAAGCCGAAGUUCACCCGCCGCAGCCGUAAGCGACGCCAAAGCCUGGGAAGCUGAUUCCAAGCCGUUACGCCCGCAGCGCCCCAGGCAAACCCAGCUGCUCACCCUCC